AUAGAGGUCUCGCCGGGCAAAUUUUGAGUGAUCUUCUGCAACAAGCCAAGACCUCUGAUAUCGCUGACAUGCGAUGUGUUGCCAUGAGAGGGCUUCCAGUACUUCUUGGUGAUGACCAAACUGAGUUCUUCAAAGCAUGCUUUGCUUCUGAUGAUGGAGACUCGUACCAACAUGUGCCAGUUGGAAUCCUCAGCUUAGAAAAUGAAGAUGUGGCUCUGCAACCCCUGUCC